UUAACUUAUUUAGCUAAUUGCUCAGACUGCAAUCUUCAGACAGCGUUCAAUGGUGUCUUCGGCGGGCGCGGGCCAGAGGGCAGAAGCCCCCCGGCGGCCGUGAGGCGGGCCCGCCGAAGCAACAAGGUACAAUAAACACGGGUGGGAGGUUGAAUUCAGAGAAUUCUCGCUCGGUAAUGAUCCUUCCGCAGGUUCACCUACGGAAA
rnacentral:misc_RNA from 1 species